rnacentral:rRNA from 1 species
UGGGGAAUAUUGCACAAUGGAGGGAACUCUGAUGCAGCGACGCCGCGUGAACGAAGAAGGCUUUCGAGUCGUAAAGUUCUUUUAUAUGGGAAGAUACUGACGGUACCAUAAGAAGAAGCCCCGGCUAACUACGUGCCAGCAGCCGCGGUAAUACGUAGGGGGCUAGCGUUUGCCGGAAUCACUGGGCGUAAAGGGUUCGCAGGCGGAAAUGCAAGUCAGGUGUAAAAGGCAGUAGCUUAACUACUGUAAGCAUUUGAAACUGCAUAUCUUGAGAAGAGUAGAGGUAAGUGGAAUUUUUAGUGUAGCGGUGAAAUGCGUAGAUAUUAAAAAGAAUACCGGUGGCGAAGGCGACUUACUGGGCUCAUUCUGACGCUGAGGAACGAAAGCGUGGGUAGCAAACAGG